rnacentral:rRNA from 1 species
UACGUAGGGCGCAAGCGUUGUCCGGAAUUAUUGGGCGUAAAGAGCUCGUAGGCGGCUUGUCACGUCGGAUGUGAAAGCCCGAGGCUUAACCUCGGGUCUGCAUUCGAUACGGGCUAGCUAGAGUGUGGUAGGGGAGACUGGAAUUCCUGGUGUAGCGGUGAAAUGCGCAGAUAUCAGGAGGAACACCGGUGGCGAAGGCGGGUCUCUGGGCCGUAACUGGCGCUGAGGAGCGAAAGCAUGGGGAGCGAACAGG